GCGGGUAUCGUAUAGUGGCUAUUACCUCAGGUUUCCAACCUGAUGACGCGGGUUCGAUUCCCACUACCCGCUCCA
rnacentral:tRNA from 1 species